ACCAGUUGACGAAUCCCAAAUAGGACGAAACGCGCGUCCUGGAU
rnacentral:hammerhead_ribozyme from 1 species